UACGGAGGGUGCAAGCGUUGUCCGGAAUCACUGGGCGUAAAGGGCGCGUAGGCGGCUGUUCAAGUCGGGGGUGAAAGCCUGUGGCUCAACCACAGAAUUGCCUUCGAUACUGGACGGCUCGAGACCGGAAGAGGUCAGUGGAACUGCGAGUGUAGAGGUGAAAUUCGUAGAUAUUCGCAAGAACACCAGUGGCGAAGGCGGCUGACUGGUCCGGUUCUGACGCUGAGGCGCGAAAGCGUGGGGAGCAAACAGG
rnacentral:rRNA from 1 species